rnacentral:rRNA from 1 species
CCUACGGGAGGCAGCAGUGAGGAAUAUUGGUCAAUGGGCGAGAGCCUGAACCAGCCACGCCGCGUGAGGGAGUAAUGCCUUCUGGGUUGUAAACCUUUUUUGUCGGGGAGCACAAGCCCGACGUGUCCGGCUGUGAGAGUACCCGUAGAUAAAGCAUCAGCUAACUCCGUGCAAGCAGCCGCAGUAAUACGGAGGAUGAGAGCGUUAUCCGGAUUUAUUGGGUUUAAAGGGUGCGUAGGUUGUUUUUUAAGUCAGCGGUGAAAGUUUGUGGCUCAACCUUAAAAUUGACGUUGAUACUGGAAAACUAGAGUGUGUUUGAGGUAAGCGGAAUUCGAGGUGUAGCGGUGAAAUGCGUAGAUAUCACGCAGAACUCCGAUUGCGAAGGCAGCUUACUAAGCCAUAACUGACGCUGAGGCACGAAAGCGUGGGGAUCAAACAGGAUUAGAUACCCGAGUAGUC